UUGGCAAAACAACUGAAAGGUUGAGACGCAAAGCCACGGUGUCUAAACGACUGAGUUCGCAUGAUUGACCGGCUGCAA
rnacentral:ncRNA from 1 species